GACUGGAUAGCCUAGUGGUAAAGGCAUCACAUUGAUCAUGCUGAGGUCCCAGGUUCAAAUCCUGGUCUAGUCA
rnacentral:tRNA from 1 species